CAGCAUGCUACGGUGAAUACGUUCCCGGGUCUUGUACACACCGCCCGUCACACCACGAGAGUUUGUAACACCCGAAGCCGGUGGAGUAACCAUUUGGAGCUAGCCGUCGAAGGUGGGACAAAUGAUUGGGGUGAAGUCGUAACAAGGUAGCCGUAUCGGAAGGUGCGGCUGGAUCACCUCCUGUCUAAGGA
rnacentral:rRNA from 1 species